CCGAUGAUGAGGAGCCCGGGGCGGCCGCGACGCCUAAUUCCAUCCGUUCUUCCAUCGAAGACAUCCGACUGAGUCACGGGGGGUAUUUGGGCUGACCGAGCACAGGAUCCGCUGAUUGUCAGGGGGGUCAAAUGCUGGAGUUCAGUGUCUUACCCUCAGAUACAUUAUCCCAGUAAGGGGACAGAAAGUGGACUUCUCCUUUCUGGAUGAGACGGAAUAGUUCCUCUUGAUUACGAUCUGGACUGCGGAAUGGAGGAAACCCGCUCAGCAGCACAAACACACUUGGCUCGGUAAACCUGCCGUUCUGAGUGAUAGCAUCAAACAGGUCUCCACCGGUCACCAGCUCCAUCAGCAGGUAAACAUGGGUGUGCGUGUGAUGAGAACGAAACAGCUGGAUGAGCCGAGGAUGUUCCAGACUACGCAGCAGAGCGAUCUCAUUCUGAAUCAUGUGACCACGGCCCUGCAGCUUUGCAUUGUCUACAAUCUUCAUAGCGAAAGUUUCAGCCAGGCCUCUCACACGGCACUCCCUGACCACCGCAAAGUUCCCGUCUCCUACCACACGGCCCAUGUCAUAGCAGCGCUCAAUGUCCUCCAGCGACACUUCGGCACCAUCAGUUCUCUCGGUCUUUCUCUCUUUACCUUUUCUUUUUGCCUUCCAA